GAUGAACGCUGGCGGCGUGCUUAACACAUGCAAGUCGAACGGUGAUGGGUGGAGCUUGCUCUGCUUUGAUCAGUGGCGAACGGGUGAGUAACACGUGAGUAACCUGCCCCAGACUCUGGAAUAACCCCGGGAAACCGGUGCUAAUACCGGAUAUGACACAGAAUCGCAUGGUUUCUGUGUGGAAAGUUUUUCGGUUUGGGAUGGACUCGCGGCCUAUCAGCUUGUUGGUGAGGUAAUGGCUCACCAAGGCGACGACGGGUAGCCGGCCUGAGAGGGCGACCGGCCACACUGGGACUGAGACACGGCCCAGACUCCUACGGGAGGCAGCAGUGGGGAAUAUUGCACAAUGGGCGCAAGCCUGAUGCAGCGACGCCGCGUGAGGGAUGAAGGCCUUCGGGUUGUAAACCUCUUUCAGCUCUGAAGAAGCGAAAGUGACGGUAGGAGCAGAAGAAGCACCGGCUAACUACGUGCCAGCAGCCGCCGUAAUAC
rnacentral:rRNA from 1 species